rnacentral:rRNA from 1 species
ACUGAGACACGGCCCAAACUACUACGGGAGGCAGCAGUAGGGAAUCUUCCACAAUGGACGCAAGUCUGAUGGAGCAACGCCGCGUGAGUGAAGAAGGCUUUCGGGUCGUAAAACUCUGUUGUUGGAGAAGAAUGGUCGGCAGAGUAACUGUUGUCGGCGUGACGGUAUCCAACCAGAAAGCCACGGCUAACUACGUGCCAGCAGCCGCGGUAAUACGUAGGUGGCAAGCGUUAUCCGGAUUUAUUGGGCGUAAAGCGAGCGCAGGCGGUUUUUUAAGUCUGAUGUGAAAGCCCUCGGCUUAACCGAGGAAGCGCAUCGGAAACUGGGAAACUUGAGUGCAGAAGAGGACAGUGGAACUCCAUGUGUAGCGGUGAAAUGCGUAGAUAUAUGGAAGAACACCAGUGGCGAAGGCGGCUGUCUGGUCUGUAACUGACGCUGAGGCUCGAAAGCAUGGGUAGCGAACAGGAUUAGAUACCCUGGUAGUCCAUGCCGUAAACGAUGAAUGCUAGGUGUUGGAGGGUUUCCGCCCUUCAGUGCCGCAGCUAACGCAUUAAGCAUUCCGCCUGGGGAGUACGACCGCAAGGUUGAAACUCAAAGGAAUUGACGGGGGCCCGCACAAGCGGUGGAGCAUGUGGUUUAAUUCGAAGCAACGCGAAGAACCUUACCAGGUCUUGACAUCUUUUGAUCACCUGAGAGAUCAGGUUUCCCCUUCGGGGGCAAAAUGACAGGUGGUGCAUGGUUGUCGUCAGCUCGUGUCGUGAGAUGUUGGGUUAAGUCCCGCAACGAGCGCAACCCUUAUGACUAGUUGCCAGCAUUUAGUUGGGCACUCUAGUAAGACUGCCGGUGACAAACCGGAGGAAGGUGGGGAUGACGUCAAAUCAUCAUGCCCCUUAUGACCUGGGCUACACACGUGCUACAAUGGAUGGUACAACGAGUUGCGAGACCGCGAGGUCAAGCUAAUCUCUUAAAGCCAUUCUCAGUUCGGACUGUAGGCUGCAACUCGCCUACACGAAGUCGGAAUCGCUAGUAAUCGCGGAUCAGCACGCCGCGGUGAAUACGUUCCCGGGCCUUGUACACACCGCCCGUCACACCAUGAGGGGUUUGUAACACCCGAAGCCGGUGGCGUAACC